GAUGAAGAACGUAGCGAAAUGCGAUACGUAGUGUGAAUUGCAGAAUUCAGUGAAUCAUCGAAUCUUUGAACGCACAUUGCACCUCUCGGUAUUCCGGGAGGUAUGCCUGUUCGAGCGUCAUUUGUACCCUCAAGCUCUGCUUGGUGUUGGGUGUUUGUUCCGCCUCUGUGUGUGAACUCGCCUCAAAACAAUUGGCAGCCGGCGUACUUGUUUCGGAGCGCAGCACAUUUUGCGAUCCAGAUCAACGUACAGCGGCAUCCAAGAAGCCUUAUUUAACGCUCUUGACCUCGGAUCGGGUAGGGAUACCCGCUGAACUUAAGCAUAUCAAUAAGCGGAGGA
rnacentral:misc_RNA from 1 species